rnacentral:rRNA from 1 species
AUGCCUAUUCGAGCGUCAUUUCGACCCUUAAGCCCCAGUUGCUUAGCGUUGGGAGUCUGCGGCCCAGGCCGCAGUUCCUCAAAGUCAGUGGCGGAGUUGUAG